rnacentral:rRNA from 1 species
AUACGUAGGGUGCGAGCGUUGUCCGGAAUUACUGGGCGUAAAGAGCUCGUAGGCGGUUUGUCGCGUCGUCUGUGAAAUUCCGGGGCUUAACUCCGGGCGUGCAGGCGAUACGGGCAUAACUUGAGUACUGUAGGGGAGACUGGAAUUCCUGGUGUAGCGGUGAAAUGCGCAGAUAUCAGGAGGAACACCGGUGGCGAAGGCGGGUCUCUGGGCAGUAACGGACGCUGAGGAGCGAAAGCAUGGGUAGCGAACAGGAUUAGAUACCCUGGUAGUCCAUGCCGUAAACGGUGGGCGCUAGGUGUAGGGGUCUUCCACGACUUCUGUGCCGUAGCUAACGCAUUAAGCGCCCCGCCUGGGGAGUACGGCCGCAAGGCUAAAACUCAAAUGAAUUGGCGGGG